AAAAUUGGCAGCAGGUUAAUAUUUGUCAGCAAGAGUAAGACGAGAUGUAUCUGCGCAGAGGCAGCUGAAGAAGAAUCCUCCACCACUUGACACUGAAGGUAUUCGUGUAGUGAGAGAUGGUGGAGACUAGAGAAUUAUUCUUAAUGUUGGUUUAGUUGUAAUUUCUCGCUGGCUGGCAAUUGUCUGGAGCUGCAUGAAGCUACUGAAUAGACAAUGGCAUCCAGAGACUAAUAAAAUAAGCUUGGACACAGAUAUGAAACUCUA